GAAGCUGCACUGAAACUGUAAUUUUGACCUUCAACUGUCUGGAGGCCAUUGAAGUCCACUAUAAGGAGAAUAAUCCUGGAAUGUUUUCAUCACAAACCUUAAUUUUCUUUCCCACUGAAGAAAGAAGGACAUAGACAUCUUCAAUGACAUGCAGGCAACUUGGAACUGGACAUGUUAGAGCAGUAAUAAUGGCAAGUUAGUAAAUUACAAAACACUUAAAGAAUUAAUUGAACACAGCAAAAUUAAUUUGAUAGAUUGAAAGAUUGACUCACUUCUUUAAUGUCCCCUCUGAGGCUUAGGUAUCCUCCCUUUGCAAAAAUGUCCUCUUCCUCACCACUCAUAAGUUGUGAAGUAGGACAAAGAGCUUCUCUUGCAGAUGUCUCUGCUUCCUCAGGGACGGUUUGUGGAAUAGUCUUGAAUUUAAGGGUGCCAGUUCCAACAUACAAAUACAUUUGGCCAAAUGCAUUUGACAGUGUAUACUUCUGGAGGACAUAGCUUACCCCUUCCUCAAAUUCUGGGGUGAAGCCAUCUUUUUUAUUAAGGUACACAGUUGUACCAUCAGUGAGUGCACUGAUUGAUUCAGUUUUUAAUUUAGAAAUUUCAAUUUUUCUUCCUUUCAUGGCAUAUGUCAGGGCACGUUGGCUUAGACGGGUUGCUACACACUUGCAGCGUAAAAAUGAUGGGGGAGAAGUUGGAGUUGCCAUCCUGAAGAGGAGAAAACACAGAGAAAGUACAUUGGGCACUUAAAAAGAUACCCUGCUUAAUAAUGGAUUAGUAUUUUUAAUUUAUGUAUUUAUUGAAUUUUUUUAAUGAAUUGUAUUUUAUGUAUAUAAACUUUUUUUUAAUUGUAUGUAUUAUGUAUAUAUGAAAUUAUUUUAUAAUGAAAUGUAUGGUAUAUGUAUUGAAAUGAAAUUGUUUUAAUGAAUUUUAUUUAUUAUAAUGCCUUGAAAUGAACUUAUUUUUAGUUAACCAGAUAUUAAUAUAUAUGAAUUUAUAAAUGGCACACAUUCAUUAUAUGCACUAGUAUGAAUUGUAUUUAUUAUAAUAAUGGAUGCAUUGAAUCUAACUUAUAUUCCCCAUUAAAACAUAAACCCAA